ensembl:lncRNA
GUCCAUUCUAUGUCUAUAAUUACAAGAGUUAUUUCGUUUGGAACGAAACCUACCUACUGUCAAACACAAAAGACACCAUACCUUUGAGAACUACAUCACACUCUUGCUUUGACAGAAGUCACCAAGUCAGCGCUGCAAGCUCCAUACACCCAGGAACCAGAGGACAGCUCUAGUGACCAACUCAGAGAAGGUCAAAUAAAAUUUCCAUGGCUUUGGGAGGAGAGCUAGAUCUCCAGUUGAUAUUCAUAGGGAGGACACAUAACCUCAGGUUGACCUUGCUUAUUGGUAUGAAUCAUUGACUGUCAGGCACAGGAGGAGAAUCAGGAACUGGAGCCAAAAAUUUCUUAAGUUAUUGACAAGAAUAUAAAAGUGGAGAAAAACAUCCACAAUUUCUCACUUGAUCAUCACUUUGAUCAUCAUCUUUACCCACUUUACAAGAUGGCCUAUCACAGGUCUUCUGCAUCCCUUUGAAACUGAUUCUGCAGUGCUGUAAGCCUGUUGUCCAGCAGGAAGAGAAUAUGUUUCCAUUAGACCAUGCCAU